rnacentral:rRNA from 1 species
AGAAGAUACUAAGGGCGCACGGCGGAUGCCUUGGCACAGGAAGUCGAAGAAGGACGCGGCAAGCUGCGAUAAGCUCCGGGGAGGCGCAAACGGCCUUCGAUCCGGAGAUCUCCGAAUGGGGGAACCCAGCAGGGGUCAUGCCCUGCUACCCGCGCCUGAAUGAAAUAGGGCGCGAGGAGGCAACCCGGGGAACUGAAACAUCUAAGUACCCGGAGGAAGAGAAAUCAACCGAGAUUGCGGGAGUAGCGGCGAGCGAAACCGCACCAGCCCAAACCCAUGCACGUGCAAGCUUGAGGGCGUUGCUGCAUGAGGGGUUGUGGGACCGCGCAUUCCAUGGGCCUCAGACCAUGGACGCAGUUACAAAUCCGCGCGGAAGCGGAACGGCCUGGGAAGGCCGGCGGAACAGGGUGAGAGCCCCGUACGCGAAUCCGCGCGGACUGCGAGUGCGGCGCCCGAGUAGCGCCGGGCACGUGAAACCCGGUGCGAACCUGGGGGGACCACCCUCCAAGGCUGAACACUCUCCUGUGACCGAUAGCGAACCAGUACCGUGAGGGAAAGGUGAAAAGCACCCCGAGAGGGGAGUGAAACAGUACCUGAAACCGUGCGCCUACAAGCAGUCGGAGCCCCCGAGCGGGGUGACGGCGUGCCUUUUGUAGAAUGAGCCAGCGAGUUGCGGUAUGCGGCGAGGUUAAGGUUUGAACCGAGCCGCAGUGAAAGCGAGCCUUUAAGAUGGCGUAUGAGUCGCAUGCUGCAGACGCGAAGCCGGGUGAGCUAUCCAUGGGCAGGCUGAAGCGGGGGUAAGACCCCGUGGAGGGCCGAACCCACUUCGGUUGAAAACGGAGGGGAUGACCCGUGGAUAGGGGUGAAAGGCCAAUCAAACCCGGAGAUAUCUCGUUCUCCCCGAAAUAGCUUUAGGGCUAGCCUCGGCCGUUCUCCGACGGCGGUAGAGCACUGGAUCGUCGAGGGGGCUUCACCGCCUACCGACACGAACCAAACUCCGAAUGCCGCCGGAUCAGAGGCCGGGAGUCAGAACAUGUGGGCUAAGCUGUGUGUUCGAGAGGGAAACAGCCCAGACCGCCCGCUAAGGUCCCCAAGUUUAUGCUGAGUGGCAAAGGAUGUGCGUUUGCCUAGACAACCAGGAUGUUGGCUUAGAAGCAGCCAUGCAUUUAAAGAGUGCGUAACAGCUCACUGGUCAAGUGGACAUGCGCCGACAAUUCACGGGGCUAAGCAUAACACCGAAGCGGCGGACUAAUCUAUAUUAGUGGUAGGGGAGCUUUCCCCGCAGCGGAGAAGCCGAGAGGGCGACCCUCGGUGGAGCGCGGGGAAGUGAGAAUGCUGGCAUGAGUAACGAGAGCGGCGCGAGAAACGCCGCCGCCGUAAGCCUAAGGGUUCCUGGGCAAGGCUAAUCCUCCCAGGGUCAGUCGGGAGCUAAGGCGAGGCCGAGAGGCGUAGCCGAUGCGCAACAGGCGGACAUUCCUGUACCGCCUGCGGACCGCUAUCACCGACGGGGUGACGGAGAAGGGUAGCCGAGCGGGGUUCUGGACGUCCCCGUGAAAGCGCGUAGGGCGCGGAGCAUGGAAAUCAGCUCCGCAGAAAGCCUGAGACGCGAGACGAAAGCUUAUGCUGAAGUCGGCGAGCCCAUGCUUCCGAGAAAAACCUCUAGGAAGGGACGCAGGCGCCCGUACCAAAACCGACACAGGUGGGCAGGUAGAGCAUACCGAGGCGAUCGGGAGAACCAUGGUUAAGGAACUCGGCAUACUGACUCCGUAACUUCGGGAGAAGGAGUGCCCCUGGCGGUGACGGGACUUGCUCCCCGAGCGGCCGGGGGUCGCAGCGAAACGGCCCAAGCGACUGUUUAUCAAAAACACAGGACUCUGCAAAGCCGUAAGGCGACGUAUAGGGUCUGACGCCUGCCCGGUGCUGGAAGGUUACGCGGAUGGGUCAGCCGCAAGGCGAAGCUCUGAAGCCAAGCCCCAGUAAACGGCGGCCGUAACUAUAACGGUCCUAAGGUAGCGAAAUUCCUUGUCGGGUAAGUUCCGACCUGCACGAAUGG